rnacentral:tRNA from 1 species
GGAGACGUGGCUGAGUGGUCGAAAGCGCCUCACUGCUAACGAGGUAAGCCCUUUAAACGGCUUCAUGGGUUCGAAUCCCAUCGUCUCCG